rnacentral:rRNA from 1 species
AUUGAACGCUGGCGGCAGGCUUAACACAUGCAAGUCGAGCGGGGGAAGGUAGCUUGCUACCGGACCUAGCGGCGGACGGGUGAGUAAUGCUUAGGAAUCUGCCUAUUAGUGGGGGACAACAUCUCGAAAGGGAUGCUAAUACCGCAUACGUCCUACGGGAGAAAGCAGGGGAUCUUCGGACCUUGCGCUAAUAGAUGAGCCUAAGUCGGAUUAGCUAGUUGGUGGGGUAAAGGCCUACCAAGGCGACGAUCUGUAGCGGGUCUGAGAGGAUGAGCCGCCACACUGGGACUGAGACACGGCCCAGACUCCUACGGGAGGCAGCAGUGGGGAAUAUUGGACAAUGGGGGGAACCCUGAUCCAGCCAUGCCGCGUGUGUGAAGAAGGCCUUAUGGUUGUAAAGCACUUUAAGCGAGGAGGAGGCUACUUUAGUUAAUACCUAGAGAUAGUGGACGUUACUCGCAGAAUAAGCACCGGCUAACUCUGUGCCAGCCGCCGCCGUAAAAC